rnacentral:rRNA from 1 species
AGUGAACGCUGGCGGUAGGCCUAACACAUGCAAGUCGAACGGCAGCACAGUAAGAGCUUGUUCUUACGGGUGGCGAGUGGCGGACGGGUGAGGAAUACAUCGGAAUCUACUUUUUCGUGGGGGAUAACGUAGGGAAACUUACGCUAAUACCGCAUACGACCUACGGGUGAAAGCAGGGGAUCUUCGGACCUUGCGCGAUUGAAUGAGCCGAUGUCGGAUUAGCUAGUUGGCGGGGUAAAGGCCCACCAAGGCGACGAUCCGUAGCUGGUCUGAGAGGAUGAUCAGCCACACUGGAACUGAGACACGGUCCAGACUCCUACGGGAGGCAGCAGUGGGGAAUAUUGGACAAUGGGCGCAAGCCUGAUCCAGCCAUACCGCGUGGGUGAAGAAGGCCUUCGGGUUGUAAAGCCCUUUUGUUGGGAAAGAAAAGCAGCAGGUUAAGACCCCGCUGUUCUGACGGUACCCAAAGAAUAAGCACCGGCUAACUUCGU